rnacentral:tRNA from 1 species
GCACCCGUAGCUCAAUGGAUAGAGCAUCUGACUACGGAUCAGAAGGUUACACGUUCGAGUCGUGUCGGGUGCA